rnacentral:rRNA from 1 species
AACGAACGCUGGCGGCAGGCUUAACACAUGCAAGUCGAGCGCCCCGCAAGGGGAGCGGCAGACGGGUGAGUAACGCGUGGGAAUCUACCCAUCUCUACGGAAUAACGCUUGGAAACGUGUGCUAAUACCGUAUACGUCCUUCGGGAGAAAGAUUUGUCGGAGAUGGAUGAGCCCGCGUUGGAUUAGCUAGUUGGUGGGGUAAAGGCCUACCAAGGCGACGAUCCAUAGCUGGUCUGAGAGGAUGAUCAGCCGCACUGGGCCUGAGACACGGCCCAGACUCCUACGGGAGGCAGCAGUGGGGAAUAUUGGACAAUGGGCGCAAGCCUGAUCCAGCCACGCCGCGUGAGUGAUGAAGGCCCUAGGGUUGUAAAGCUCUUUCACCGGUGAAGAUAAUGACGGUAACCGGAGAAGAAGCCCCGGCUAACUUCGUGCCAGCCGCCGCCGUAACAC